AGUGAACGCUGGCGGUAUGCCUAACACGUGCAAGUCGAACGGCAACACAGUAAGAGCUUGCUCUUACGGGUGGCGAGUGGCGGACGGGUGAGGAAUACAUCGGAAUCUACUUUUUCGUGGGGGAUAACGUAGGGAAACUUACGCUAAUACCGCAUACGACCUACGGGUGAAAGCAGGGGAUCUUCGGACCUUGCGCGAUUGAAUGAGCCGAUGUCGGAUUAGCUAGUUGGCGGGGUAAAGGCCCACCAAGGCGACGAUCCGUAGCUGGUCUGAGAGGAUGAUCAGCCACACUGGAACUGAGACACGGUCCAGACUCCUACGGGAGGCAGCAGUGGGGAAUAUUGGACAAUGGGCGCAAGCCUGAUCCAGCCAUACCGCGUGGGUGAAGAAGGCCUUCGGGUUGUAAAGCCCUUUUGUUGGGAAAGAAAAGCAGCAGGUGAAUACCCCGCUGUUCUGACGGUACCCAAAGAAUAAGCACCGGCUAACUUCGUG
rnacentral:rRNA from 1 species